UACGUAGGGUGCGAGCUUUGUCCGGAAUUACUGGGCGUAAAGAGCUCGUAGGUGGUUUGUCGCGUUGUUCGUGAAAACUCACAGCUUAACUGUGGGCGUGCGGGCGAUACGGGCAGACUGGAGUACUGCAGGGGAGACUGGAAUUCCUGGUGUAGCGGUGGAAUGCGCAGAUAUCAGGAGGAACACCGGUGGCGAAGGCGGGUCUCUGGGCAGUAACUGACGCUGAGGAGCGAAAGCGUGGGGAGCGAACAGG
rnacentral:rRNA from 1 species